AAAUGUUAAAAGAAAUUAAUUGCAUAAUUAAAUUUUAAAGUCUAAAGGUAUUACAAAUAAUUCCAAAAAUUUACAUAAUUAAUCCAAAAGGCUAAUACAUCAUCCAAUACGUUCCAAAAGUCCAAAGUACAUCAAAGUAAAUUUGAAAAAAGUUGAAAUUGGUUGAUGUAAGUACAGCAGUUUGAAAACGGCAUCCUCAAGCCAUUGCCAAAAACCAACAGUUUGAAGAUGAAGCCCCCCAAAUCCAAUCUCCAAAACAGGCGCACACUUCCUUUCAAUUCAAGGUCUCUUCACCUUUGUGUGACCUGCAAAAUCAAUUCAGAAAUUAAAAGUCGUUUCAAAUGAACACUUGAAAAAGGCUGGAAAAUAAAUUGAUGAGUUGAACAGUCUAAAGCUUUGCAGAAAAGGCCAUAACGAACACCAAUUAAAACAACUUUAAAUCCACAUAACCACAAUCCCAUAAAAUCUAGAAUGAAAAGCAAGACUGACAAAAAAUUUUAAAACCUAAAAAUUCAUGAUGAAGAGGAUAUAUAUCCAAAGCAGGUUAACAGUAGAGAGGACGGUUGAAUCCAAAAAGAGGCAAUCAAAAAAAUAAUUUUUGUUAAACAUCAAAACCCUAACAUUCGAAAAAAACAAAAACAACAUCCAAAGAAAAUAAAUAGAGGAAGGCGAAGAGCAUUAAAAGGAAGGGAAGACUUAUCUCAAACAGAGCAGGGAAGCGUCGUCGGCGAUUGACUCCGAUCAAGUAAAACCCUAUUUCUUGUUCAAAUUCUUUACACCAUCGUACUCGCCUUGCUAAAAUGAACAGAAACCCCAUGUUAUCUUCUUCAAAUCAUGACGGUAGAAGGUUAAAUCUCAAAAUUUAGGGUUAAGGUUCUAACAGCUGAUGGUUGAUGUUUAGGUUCUAAUUCGUUGUUAGAACGAACUAGGGUUCGUUAGCCGCGAGAGAGAGAGAACGUUUAGGUUAGGGUUUAAGAUUGUAUUUUCUUUUGGAACGCCGAUCCGGCCGUUUGAGAGAGAUUUCGGUAGAAAGGAGGCCAAAUUUGGGUUCAGAGGCCAAAAAUGGGUGGGGUUCAUGUUUUUAUAUUUAGGUUUUGGGGUGGGGUCGCCGGAGAAGAAGGCGGCGCCACCGCGGUUGACCGGCCGCCACCGUCUUCUCCGACAGUUGUUGGCCGUGAGGAGGGAGGAAAGGAGAAGCUCAGUUGCAGAGCAACUUUGAGCGUGUGAUGAAGAGAGAGAAGGAAAAUGUACAAAUGAG
rnacentral:lncRNA from 1 species